rnacentral:rRNA from 1 species
CACCGCGGUCAUACGAGUGCUUAGCCCAAGUGGAUAACCAGCGGCGUAAAGAGUGGUUAGGGCUACCAAAUAACUAAAGCAGAACGACCUCCCGGCUGUUAUACGCAUCCGAUAGUACGAAUCCCUCUUACGAAAGUAACUUUAAACCCCGCCCGAACCCACGAAAGUUGAGAAA